rnacentral:piRNA from 4 species
CUGAAUCCAGCGAUCCGAGUUCAA